CGGCACGAGGCUUAAAGGAGCUAUCUUUUUAGAGUGGGUUAAUCCUCAAUAUUUUUUAUUAGUGAUCGUAUUUUAUUCCUUUUGUUUGAACGGAACCUCUUCACGAAACUAAAAUGUGAGGGUGAUAAUGUAAAGAUGAGUAGCUAAAUAUAUGGGGUUUGUUAAUUCGGGAAAUUAGACGUAAAACAAAUAAUCUUGAUAAGCAAAGCUAAAGGAACUCGGCAAAAAUGAAAACCGCCUGUUUAACAAAAACAUGGCUCCUUGAUAACAUAAGGAGUCGUGCCUUCCCGGUGAGUUUAAACUUAAACGGAUGCGGUAAAGCGUGCU
rnacentral:rRNA from 1 species